rnacentral:rRNA from 1 species
GAAUGCUGACAUAAGUAACGAUAAAGCGGGUGAAAAGCCCGCUCGCCGGAAGACCAAGGGUUCCUGUCCAACGUUAAUCGGGGCAGGGUGAGUCGACCCCUAAGGCGAGGCCGAAAGGCGUAGUCGAUGGGAAACGGGUUAAUAUUCCCGUACUUGGUGUUACUGCGAAGGGGGGACGGAGAAGGCUAUGUUGGCCGGGCGACGGUUGUCCCGGUUUAAGCGUGUAGGUGUGUGUUCCAGGUAAAUCCGGUUCACUUUAACACUGAGGCGUGACGACGAGGCACUACGGUGCUGAAGCAACAAAUGCCCUGCUUCCAGGAAAAGCCUCUAAGCAUCAGGUAACAUCAAAUCGUACCCCAAACCGACACAGGUGGUCAGGUAGAGAAUACCAAGGCGCUUGAGAGAACUCGGGUGAAGGAACUAGGCAAAAUGGUGCCGUAACUUCGGGAGAAGGCACGCUGACACGUAGGUGAAGUGAUUUACUCAUGGAGCUGAAGUCAGUCGAAGAUACCAGCUGGCUGCAACUGUUUAUUAAAAACACAGCACUGUGCAAACACGAAAGUGGACGUAUACGGUGUGACGCCUGCCCGGUGCCGGAAGGUUAAUUGAUGGGGUCAGCGCAAGCGAAGCUCCUGAUCGAAGCC